AUUGAACGCUGGCGGCAUGCCUUACACAUGCAAGUCGAACGGCAGCACGGGUGCUUGCACCUGGUGGCGAGUGGCGAGCGGGUGAGUAAUACAUCGGAACAUGUCCUGUAGUGGGGGAUAGCCCGGCGAAAGCCGGAUUAAUACCGCAUACGAUCUACGGAUGACAGCGGGGGACCUUCGGGCCUCGCGCUAUAGGGUUGGCCGAUGGCUGAUUAGCUAGUUGGUGGGGUAAAGGCCUACCAAGGCGACGAUCAGUAGCUGGUCUGAGAGGACGACCAGCCACACUGGGAGUGAGACACGGCCCAGACUCCUACGGGAGGCAGCAGUGGGGAAUUUUGGACAAUGGGCGAAAGCCUGAUCCAGCAAUGCCGCGUGUGUGAAGAAGGCCUUCGGGUUGUAAAGCACUUUUGUCCGGAAAGAAAUGCUUGGCCCUAAUACGGUCGGGGGAUGACGGUACCGGAAGAAUAAGCACCGGCUAACUACGUG
rnacentral:rRNA from 1 species